GCUCUCAUAGUUCAACGGAUAGAACGGAGGAUUCCUAAUCCUCAAAUGCAAGUUCGAUUCUUGCUGGGAGCA
rnacentral:tRNA from 1 species